rnacentral:rRNA from 1 species
UACGAAGGGGGCUAGCGUUGUUCGGAUUUACUGGGCGUAAAGGGCGCGUAGGCGGCGUGGUAAGUCACUUGUGAAAUCUCUGAGCUUAACUCAGAACGGUCAAGUGAUACUGCUGUGCUAGAGUGCGGAAGGGGCAAUCGGAAUUCUUGGUGUAGCGGUGAAAUGCGUAGAUAUCAAGAGGAACACCUGAGGUGAAGACGGGUUGCUGGGCCGACACUGACGCUGAUGCGCGAAAGCCAGGGGAGCAAACGGG